rnacentral:rRNA from 1 species
UCUACGGGAGGCAGCAGUAGGGAAUCUUCCACAAUGGGCGCAAGCCUGAUGGAGCAACACCGCGUGAGUGAAGAAGGGUUUCGGCUCGUAAAGCUCUGUUGUUGGAGAAGAACGUGCGUGAGAGUAACUGUUCACGCAGUGACGGUAUCCAACCAGAAAGUCACGGCUAACUACGUGCCAGCAGCCGCGGUAAUACGUAGGUGGCAAGCUUUAUCCGGAUUUAUUGGGCGUAAAGCGAGCGCAGGCGGUCGCUUAGUGCUGAUGUGAAAGCCUUUGGCUUAACCGAAGGAGUGCAUAGGAAACCGGGGGAUGUGAGUGUAGGAGAGGAAAGUGGAAGUCCAGGUGGAGCGGUGGAAUGCGUAGAUAUAUGGAAGAACACCAGUGGCGAAGGCGGCUGUCUGGUCUGCAACUGACGCUGAGGCUCGAAAGCAUGGGUAGCGAACAGGAUUAGAUACCCGAGUAGUC